GACGAACGCUGGCGGCGUGCUUAACACAUGCAAGUCGAGCGGAAAGGCCACUUCGGUGGUACUCGAGCGGCGAACGGGUGAGUAACACGUGAGUAAUCUGCCCCUGGCUUUGGGAUAGCCACAGGAAACGGUGAUUAAUACCGGAUACGACCACUCCUCGCAUGGGAUGGGGGUGGAAAGUUUUUUCGGCCAGGGAUGUGCUCGCGGCCUAUCAGCUUGAUGGUGAGGUAAUGGCUCACCAUGGCUUCGACGGGUAGCCGGCCUGAGAGGGUGACCGGUCACACUGGGACUGAGACACGGCCCAGACUCCUACGGGAGGCAGCAGUGGGGAAUAUUGGACAAUGGGCGGAAGCCUGAUCCAGCAACGCCGCGUGAGGGAUGACGGCCUUCGGGUUGUAAACCUCUUUCAGCAGGGACGAAGCGCAAGUGACGGUACCUGCAGAAGAAGCACCGGCCAACUACGUGCCAGCAGCCGCCGUAA
rnacentral:rRNA from 1 species